CGGCCCGCAGCGCCACACUGGAACGCCUCGCUUAAAGUAACAGGCUCCCGGGUGACAACCCCUUGCAGAAUUGUUCUAGAGUCGCUCUUCUACAAAUGCUCCAGCUCCGAUUGUAGUUUGUCUCAGUGGCCACGGGUAGAAUAUCAAGGCAUACGUGAGGCGAAAGAAAAAAAAAAGUUACUAGCUUCCUCUAGAAACACAGACAACCUUUAAAAAGGAAACGGAUAAGAUCUAGACGAUAUACGAAAAUGAAAGAUGGGUGUGACUCUGUUUCGUUAAAGUUCUUGUACCUCUCUGGCACUUAACUCCUUUCUUGAACUGGAUUGGGGUGGUGGCUGUUUUCCAGACUUUAUCUUUUGUUCACCAUCCUUUUUCUCCAGAUUGCCAACUUCUUUUCUCCCGGUGUUGUUUUUUUGUCUCUCUUCCUCUUUCUGACUCAACUUCAUUGAAACUCUUUUCCUCUGGCCAGGAGACCAUGAAAGCACACUUUGAGAAUAAGUAACGGGAAGGAGGUUGCCUGGGGCGUCCCAGGUUCUCCACGACCACGUUCAGUUUUUCCCACUGCUCACAAAGUACAUGAUGGGGAUUAGACAGGAC
rnacentral:lncRNA from 1 species